ensembl:snoRNA Gm23951 predicted gene, 23951
UCUGCCUGUAGAGGAAUUGUAGGUGUGGCUGCUGGGUCACAUGUGCAUCAGUAGGUGGCAGAGAAGAGAGAAGCUAUGUCUAUGCUUAGUGUUCUGACCUAUCAACAUCUGAAUGAUUAGUACCCUAAUAUU